AUUGCCGUAUCAAAAGUAUCUUUCAAACCAAUGCUGCUAGUCACACUUACUGUAUUUGCAAUCGGACAGAUUCUUUCAGGCAUUGCACCAACAUUUCUCAUCUUGAUUAUCGCAAGACUCAUCGUAGCAUCCGCACAUGCAAUCUUCUGGUCAGUUGCUUCCGUCAUUGCGGUAAAGCUUGUUGAUGAACAACAUCGAGACUUUGCGAUGAGUAUGAUCGUUACAGGAACAUCCAUUGCGAUGAUCUUUGGCCUUCCACUUGGAAGAAUCGUUGGACUAUAUCUCGGAUGGAGAAUGACAUUCAUUCUUGUCGGUAUCAUUGCCUUGGCUUUAUUCGCAUUCCAAUCCAUUGUAUUUCCAGCACUAGAUAAACCAAAACCAUUCAAAGUCAACCAGUUACCACUGCUAUUCAAAAAUAAAUCUCUUGUAAGUAUCCCGAGUAAGGCGGGGCACGUGAAACCCUGUCUGAAUCCACCGGGACCAUCCGGUAAGGCUAAAUACUAGGCAGUGACCGAUAGUGAACGAGUACAGUGAUGGAAAGGCGAAAAGAACAGUGAGAAGCUGAGUGAAAUAGACCCUGAAACCGUUAGCUUACAACCAGUCAGAGCACUAUUAAUAGUGUUAUGGCGUGCCUGUUGAAGAAUGAGCCGGCGAGUUAUCGUAUGUUGCGAGGUUAAAGAGUUAAUAUCUGGAGCCAUAGAGAAAUCGAGUUUGAAUAGAGCGUUAAGUAACAUGUGAUAGACCCGAACCUUGGUGAUCUAACCAUGACCAGGAUGAAGCGUAGGUAACACUACGUGGAGGUCCGAACGUACUGAUGUUGAAAAAUCAGACGAUGAGUUGUGGUUAGGGGUGAAAUGCCAAUCGAACCAAGAGCUAGCUGGUUCUCCCCGAAAUGCGUUUAGGCACAGCGUCAGAUUUAUCUUGCAGGAGGUAGAGCACUGGUUUUGUGCGGGCGACGAAAUGUUGUACCAAACAAUGUCAAACUCCGAAUGCCUGUAAUGUUAUUGUCUGGCAGUGAGGCUAUGAGUGAUAAGAUCCAUGGCCAAGAGGGAAACAGCCCAGAACACCAGUUAAGGUCCCUAAUAUAUACUAAGUGGUUAAGGAGGUAGAGUUACUGUGACAACCAGGAGGUUGGCUCAGAAGCAGCAAUUCCUUGAAAGAGUGCGUAAUAGCUCACUGGUCAAGUGACUCCGCGCCGAAAAUACACCGGGACUCAAGUAUAUAACCGAAACUGUGUCAGUAAGUUUACUUACUGGGUAGGGGAGCGUUCUGUAGUAGGUUGAAGCUAGAUCGUAAGGACUAGUGGACGAGGCAGAAGUGAGAAUGUCGGCAUAAGUAGCGAAAACAUUGGUGAGAAUCCAAUGCACCGAAAACCUAAGGUUUCCCCCGGCAGGCUCGUCCGCGGGGGGUUAGUCGGAACCUAAGCUGAGGCAGAAAUGCGUAGGCGAUGGACAUCAGGUUGAUAUUCCUGAACUACUUGAUAGUCGUUAUCAGUAGCGGAGGGACGCAGGAGGAUAGGCACGCAGUCGAUUGGAAGUGACUGUUUAAGCGUGUAGGUAGAGAUUGUAGGAAAAUCCGCAAUUUCGUUAUAAACUGAGGCGUUAUGAGGAGGCUCUACGGAGCUGAAGGUGUUGACUCCACACUGCCAAGAAAAUCUUCGCUAUGAGAAUAUCAGGUAUCCGUACCGUAAACCGCCACAGGUAGGUUGGUAGAGAAUACUAAGGUGCGCGAGACAACUCUCGCUAAGGAACUCGGCAAAAUCACCUCGUAACUUCGGGAGAAGAGGUACCCUGGUAGUGUGAAACGAUUUACUCGUGGAGCAUGAUAGGGUCGCAGUGAAUAGGCCCAAGCGACUGUUUACCAAAAACAUAGGUCUCUGCUAAGUCGACUUAAGACGAUGUAUAGGGGCUGACGCCUGCCCGGUGUCGGAAGGUUACGUGGAAGGGUUAGACCUCGGUCGAAGCUCUGAAACUAAGCCCCGAUGAACGGCGGCCGUAACUAUAACGGUCCUAAGGUAGCGAAAUUCCUUGUCAGGUA
rnacentral:rRNA from 1 species